rnacentral:rRNA from 1 species
UACGUAGGGUGCGAGCGUUGUCCGGAAUUAUUGGGCGUAAAGGGCUCGUAGGCGGUUUGUCGCGUCGGGAGUGAAAACCCCGGGCUUAACUCGGUGCUGGCUUUCGAUACGGGCAGACUAGAGGUAUUCAGGGGAGAACGGAAUUCCUGGUGUAGCGGUGAAAUGCGCAGAUAUCAGGAGGAACACCGGUGGCGAAGGCGGUUCUCUGGGAAUGUCCUGACGCUGAGGAGCGAAAGUGUGGGGAGCGAACAGG